rnacentral:tRNA from 1 species
GGCGCCGUGGCAGAGUGGUCUAAUGCGAUAGACUAGAAAUACUCCCGGAGUACUUCUGGCCAUCUAUUCUCUUCGGAGGCGCAUGUUCGAAUCAUGCCGGCGUCG